rnacentral:rRNA from 1 species
GACGAACGCUGGCGGCGUGCCUAAUACAUGCAAGUAGAACGCAGUUGCGAACGGGUGAGUAAUGCGUAGGUAACUGCCUCCUUGCGGGGGAUAACUCUUGGAAACGAUAGCUAAUACCGCAUAUUGUGAGAUGGACCUGUGUUGUCUUAGCUAGUUGGUGAGGUAAAGGCUCAACAAGGCGACGAUACAUAGCCGGCCUGAGAGGGUGAUCGGCCACACGGGGAAUGUGAAACGGCCCAGACUCCUACGGGAGGCAGCAGGAGGGAAGCGUCGGCAAUGGACGGAAGUCUGACCGAGCAACGCCGCGUGAGUGAAGAAGGUUUUCGGGUCGUAAAGCUCUGUUGUUAGGGAAGCGGUACCUAACCAGAAAGGGACGGCUAACUACGUGCCAGCAGCCGCGGUAAUUC